rnacentral:rRNA from 1 species
AUUGAACGCUGGCGGCAGGCCUAACACAUGCAAGUCGAGCGGAGCGGCGGACGGGUGAGUAAUGCCUAGGAAUCUGCCUGGUAGUGGGGGAUAACGUCCGGAAACGGGCGCUAAUACCGCAUACUAUCAGAUGAGCCCAAGUGGGAUUAGGUAGUUGGUGAGGUAAAGGCUCACCAAGCCGACGAUCUCUAGCUGGUCUGAGAGGAUGACCAGCCACACUGGGACUGAGACACGGCCCAGACUCCUACGGGAGGCAGCAGUGGGGAAUAUUGCGCAAUGGGGGCAACCCUGACGCAGCCAUGCCGCGUGAAUGAAGAAGGCCUUCGGGUUGUAAAGUUCUUUCGGUAGCGAGGCGUUAACUACAGAAGAAGCACCGGCUAACUCCGUGCCAGCAGCCGCGGUAAUAC